UACAGAGGUGCCAAGCGUUAGGCGGAAUCACUGGGCUUAAAGCGCGUGUAGGCGGGUCGUUAAGUGUCCGAGUGAAAUCCCACGGCUCAACCGUGGAACUGCCGGGCAUACUGGCGAUCUUGAGGCAUUCAGGGGCGAGCGGAACAAAUGGUGGAGCGGUGAAAUGCGUAGAUAUCAAGUGGAACACCAGUGGCGAAGGCGAGUCUCUGGACAUUUCCUGACGCUGAGGCACGAAAGCCAGGGGAGCAAACGGG
rnacentral:rRNA from 1 species